rnacentral:rRNA from 1 species
ACUCAAAUGAAUUGACGGGGACCCGCACAAGCAGUGGAGUAUGUGGUUUAAUUCGACGCAACGCGAAGAACCUUACCAGGGAUUGACAUCCUACUAACGAAGUAGAGAUACAUUAGGUGCCCUUCGGGGAAAGUAGAGACAGGUGGUGCAUGGUUGUCGUCAGCUCGUGUCGUGAGAUGUUGGGUUAAGUCCCGCAACGAGCGCAACCCUUAUCGUUAGUUGCUACGCAAGAGCACUCUAGCGAGACUGCCGUUGAUAAAACGGAGGAAGGUGGGGAUGAUGUCAAAUCAUCAUGCCCUUUAUGCCCUGGGCUACACACGUACUACAAUGGCGAAAACAGAGGGAAGCGAAAUAGUGAUAUGGAGCAAAACCCUAAAUAUCGUCUCAGUUCAGAUUGCAGGCUGAAACCCGCCUGCAUGAAGUCGGAAUUGCUAGUAAUCGCGGAUCAGCAUGCCGCGGUGAAUACGUUCCCGGGUCUUGUACACACCGCCCGU